rnacentral:tRNA from 1 species
GCGGCAAUAGCUCGGUGGUAGAGCCCCGGUUCGCGUGCGGGGAGACCGGGUUCGAUUCCCGGCUGCUUCC